UAGUCCGUACGAGCGCACCCUUGUCCCUAGUUGCCAGCACUUCGGGUGGGAACUCUAGGGAGACUGCCGGUGAUAAACCGGAGGAAGGUGGGGAUGACGUCAAGUCAUCAUGGCCCUUAUGGGGAGGGCUACACACGUGCUACAAUGGCCGGUACAGAGGGCUGCGAAGCCGCGAGGUGGAGCGAAUCUCAGAAAACCGGUCGUAGUCCGGAUUGCAGUCUGCAACUCGACUGCAUGAAGCCGGAAUCGCUAGUAAUCGCGGAUCAGAACGCCGCGGUGAGUACGUUCCCGGGCCUUGUACACACCGCCCGUCACACCAUGGGAGUGGGCUGUACCAGAGGUAGGUAGUCUAACCUUCGGGAGGACGCUUACCACGGUGUGGUUCAUGACUGGGGUGAAGUCGUAACAAGGUAGCCCUAGGGGAACCUGGGGCUGGAUCACCUCCUUU
rnacentral:rRNA from 1 species